CCUACGGGUGGCUGCAGUGGGGAAUCUUGGACAAUGGGCGCAAGCCUGAUCCAGCCAUGCCGCGUGAGUGAAGAAGGCCUUCGGGUUGUAAAGCUCUUUUGUCAGGGACGAUAAUGACGGUACCUGAAGAAUAAGCCCCGGCAAACUUCGUGCCAGCAGCCGCGGUAAUACGAAGGGGGCUAGCGUUGUUCGGAAUUACUGGGCGUAAAGCGCACGUAGGCUGACAUUUAAGUCAGGGGUGAAAUCCCGAGGCUCAACCUCGGAACUGCCCUUGAUACUGGGUGUCUCGAGUCCGGAAGAGGUUAGUGGAAUUCCCAGUGUAGAGGUGAAAUUCGUAGAUAUUGGGAAGAACACCAGUGGCGAAGGCGGCUAACUGGUCCGGUACUGACGCUGAGGUGCGAAAGCGUGGGGAGCAAACAGGAUUAGAUACCCCGGUAGUC
rnacentral:rRNA from 2 species